rnacentral:rRNA from 1 species
UGGGGAAUAUUGCACAAUGGGCGGAAGCCUGAUGCAGCAACGCCGCGUGCGGGAUGACGGCCUUCGGGUUGUAAACCGCUUUCGCCUGUGACGAAGCGUGAGUGACGGUAAUGGGUAAAGAAGCACCGGCUAACUACGUGCCAGCAGCCGCGGUGAUACGUAGGGUGCGAGCGUUGUCCGGAUUUAUUGGGCGUAAAGGGCUCGUAGGUGGUUGAUCGCGUCGGAAGUGUAAUCUUGGGACUUAACCCUGAGCGUGCUUUCGAUACGGGUUGACUUGAGGAAGGUAGGGGAGAAUGGAAUUCCUGGUGGAGCGGUGGAAUGCGCAGAUAUCAGGAGGAACACCAGUGGCGAAGGCGGUUCUCUGGGCCUUUCCUGACGCUGAGGAGCGAAAGCGUGGGGAGCGAACAGGCUUAGAUACCCUGGUAGUCCACGCUGUUAACGGUGGGUACUAGGUGUGGGGUCCAUUCCACGGGUUCCGUGCCGUAGCUAACGCUUUAAGUACCCCGCCUGGGGAGUACGGCCGCAAGGCUAAAAACUCAAAGGAAUUGACGGGGGUCAUAGCUGUUUCCU